rnacentral:tRNA from 1 species
GGGCGAUUAACACAGCGGGAGAGUGCUACCUUCACACGGUAGAAGGCACUGGUUCAAAUCCAGUAUCGCCCACCA